UGCUAUGAUGAUGUAAUUUGCGUCUUAUCCAGUGUUCAGUGACAGUUGCCUGCUGUCAGAGUGCUGGCACUGUUGAACUGAAGACCACUUCAUUCUGAGCA
rnacentral:snoRNA from 1 species